UCGGUGAUGAUGUGAUGAUGAUGUCAUCAUCAUCUCCUCCAGGCAGUUUCCAACUUUCCAUCGUCGGCAAGACUUACCAUAUUUGGCGACUCGGAAAUUCCCAUAAUCCAGGAUCGAAUUUCCUUAUUUCUAAAAUCCGAAUCGUCAAGGACGAUUCCUAUUUUCUUUCCCUCAUCCUAUGAUUGAUUAUAUGGUCAUCAAAUUGUCACCUUACCUCUUCCUGCUCUCACGAAAACAAAAACAACUGUUAUCAUCUCCUCUGUAAUCUCGUUGAUGGCAAUGUUGAAGCUUGAAUCUAAGAGCUCGUUCUAGGUAAGGGAAAAGUCCAGCGUUCCUCUUCCUUUCUUAAUUCUAUUCAAUCCAAGAACUGAUGGACGAACCUUAUACCUUGUUGCUCGAUUUCCAGAAAUCAUCCAAGGGCAUUCUUGAGCCUCGAUGGUGACUAUACGGAGUCGAUGACCCCGAUCAAUCAUUGCUCUAUUAUGCCUUACGAAAGGGAUUCUUAUUGUUAUUCCCUUACUAAUGUUCCCAGUAGUCGCUGCAAGGGAUGGG
rnacentral:lncRNA from 1 species